AGCAGCUAUGUCAAAUUGGGUGCUUGGCUUACCCAUGGCAGGCACCAGCCCAAAAGGCUGCCACAGUAGCACUGUGACUCAUGGGCCCUGAUCACCUCUUUUGGAUCUCAGGGAUAAAUUUGGUCACAGACACCA